rnacentral:rRNA from 1 species
UACAGAGGGGGGCAAGCGUUGUUCGGAAUUACUGGGCGUAAAGGGCGCGUAGGCGGCCUGCUAAGUCGAACGUGAAAUCCCUGGGCUCAACCCAGGAACUGCGUCCGAUACUGGUUGGCUUGAAUCCGGGAGAGGGAUGUGGAAUUCCAGGUGUAGCGGUGAAAUGCGUAGAUAUCUGGAGGAACAUCAGUGGCGAAGGCGGCUGCCUGGCCCAAUACUGACACUCAGGCACGAAAGCGUGGGGAGCAAACAGG